rnacentral:rRNA from 1 species
CGAACGGGUGAGUAACACGUGGGCAACCUGCCCAAAANAGGGGGAUAACACUUGGAAACAGGUGCUAAUACCGCAUAACCAUAGUUACCGCAUGGUAACUAUGUAAAGGGUGGCUAUGCUACCGCUUUUGGAUGGGCCCGCGACGCAUUAGCUAGUUGGUGGGGUAAAGGCUUACCAAGGCAAUGAUGCGUAGCCGAACUGAGAGGUUGAUCGGCCACAUUGGGACUGAGACACGGCCCAAACUCCUACGGGAGGCAGCAG